AUUGAACGCUGGCGGCAGGCCUAACACAUGCAAGUCGAACGGUAGCACAGAGAGCUUGCUCUCGGGUGACGAGUGGCGGACGGGUGAGUAAUGUCUGGGAAACUGCCCGAUGGAGGGGGAUAACUACUGGAAACGGUAGCUAAUACCGCAUAACGUCGCAAGACCAAAGUGGGGGACCUUCGGGCCUCACACCAUCGGAUGUGCCCAGAUGGGAUUAGCUAGUAGGUGGGGUAAUGGCUCACCUAGGCGACGAUCCCUAGCUGGUCUGAGAGGAUGACCAGCCACACUGGAACUGAGACACGGUCCAGACUCCUACGGGAGGCAGCAGUGGGGAAUAUUGCACAAUGGGCGCAAGCCUGAUGCAGCCAUGCCGCGUGUAUGAAGAAGGCCUUCGGGUUGUAAAGUACUUUCAGCGAGGAGGAAGGCAUUAAGGUUAAUAACCUUAGUGAUUGACGUUACUCGCAGAAGAAGCACCGGCUAACUCCGUGCCAGCAGCCGCAGUAA
rnacentral:rRNA from 1 species